UACAGAGGGGGCAAGCGUUGUUCGGAAUUACUGGGCGUAAAGGGCGCGUAGGCGGCCUCUUAAGUCGAACGUGAAAUCCCCGGGCUCAACCCGGGAACUGCGUCCGAUACUGGGAGGCUUGAAUCCGGGAGAGGGAUGCGGAAUUCCUGGUGUAGCGGUGAAAUGCGUAGAUAUCAGGAGGAACACCUGUGGUGUAGACAGCUUACUGGACCACUUCUGACGCUGAGACACGAAAGCGUGGGUAGCAAACAGG
rnacentral:rRNA from 1 species